rnacentral:rRNA from 1 species
UACGUAGGGACCAAGCGUUGUUCGGAUUUACUGGGCGUAAAGGGCGCGUAGGCGGCGAAUCAAGUCAGUUGUGAAAUCUCCGAGCUUAACUCGGAACGGUCAACUGAUACUGUUUUGCUAGAGUGCAGAAAGGGCAACCGGAAUUCUUGGUGUAGCGGUGAAAUGCGUAGAUAUCAAGAGGAACACCUGAGGCGAAGGCGGGUUGCUGGGCUGACACUGACGCUGAGGCGCGAAAGCCAGGGGAGCAAACAGG